AUUGAACGCUGGCGGCAGGCCUAACACAUGCAAGUCGAGCGGAUGAGUGGAGCUUGCUCCAUGAUUCAGCGGCGGACGGGUGAGUAAUGCCUAGGAAUCUGCCUGGUAGUGGGGGACAACGUUUCGAAAGGAACGCUAAUACCGCAUACGUCCUACGGGAGGCAGUGGGGGAUCCUCGGACAUCACGCUAUCAGAUGAGCCUAGGUCGGAUUAGCUAAUUGGUGAGGUAAAGGCUCACCAAGGCGACGAUCCGUAACUGGUCUGAGAGGAUGAUCAGUCACACUGGAACUGAGACACGGUCCAGACUCCUACGGGAGGCAGCAGUGGGGAAUAUUGGACAAUGGGCGAAAGCCUGAUCCAGCCAUGCCGCGUGUGUGAAGAAGGUCUUCGGAUUGUAAAGCACUUUAAGUUGGGAGGAAGGGCAGUAAGUUAAUACCUUGCUGUUUUGACGUUACCAACAGAAUAAGCACCGGCUAACUUCGUGCCAGCAGCCGCCGUAAUAC
rnacentral:rRNA from 1 species